AACUGGCCUGUGUAAGCGGAUGGGCUCGGCCUCAAGGACAGGGUGCUCGGCUGAAAAAAAAGCUAGCGGCGAUCACCGGUGCCAGGGCUCUCCAGAAACGGAGCCCAUCUAACCAAUGCCCAGCACACUCGCUCUGCUCCACACACGAGACCACCUCCGACCCGCACUAAGUUGGCCAACUGCACUCUGGAGGCGGCGGCAGCCAGCGAGGGAGAAGGGAAAGGCUGUCCCGGGACCCCGAGGAGGACUGCCCCGCCCCCGGGAACCGGGUGCGGCGUAAAACAACCCCGGCUCCGGGCCGACCCUUCCUGGCCCCUUGGAGGCCCAGGCGGGGCGGCGGGGGGCGACGCGGCAGGGGUCUCCGCGCCCAGGCUCCCGCGGAGCGGCCACACGUGGAGGUUCCCACUUUGGGGUCGCGGCCGCAGCAGCACCGGGCGGGAUGCUGUCCGCGCUGCCCGCGUACGGCCGCGGCCUGAGUGGAGACGCCUGCCCCCAGCCCCGAGGCCUCGGCCCCCGUCCGCCCUCUCUCCCUGCUCGGCGGCCUCGUACUCACGCUGACUUCAUGGCAGCAGGCUCCACGCCGCCCAAACGCGCAUGCGGGACGGCUGGCUGGCGAAGACUGCGGGACGUUAGGACCGGCAGCAAGAACUAGAACUUCGCGGCUAAGGCGCGGUGCUCUGCGAAGCCGGCGGCGACGCUAAGAGCCCAGGUGAGCUCCCGCCUGGCGCAUUUCAAACGGGCCAAUCAGCGCCCGUCCGCAGGGAGAGGCAGGACCUCCGCGGAAGUGACUUCGCUGCCGGAAGUGGCGCUUGUCUCCUAGGCGACCGACGCUGAAAGGGCCGCGGAGUCGCGUGUCAGGGCUGGAGGGAGAUCUUGAGAUCACUUCAAACUUAAGUGAGCUCAGGUUCAUCUGGAGGAUGACUCGGCCUCUGUUCUCUCGUCCCACCUGACGAGAAAUACCCACAGGUGUGGAGGGGCUGGCCCCCUUCACCUGGGUCUCGACUCCUGUUUUGUUCUGCGGUUCCCAUUGCAGUGCUGUGACCCCCCAGAAGCUCAGGAAAACAACUGACUUCCUGGUGUUGCCAACAGGCAGAGAGGAGAUGCAGCCAGUCCUUACCCUGUAGAAGAUGGGGAGGGAGUCCCAGGUGUACGGAUAAGCAAAGGCGAGGACACGAAUCACCUUACAGAGUCUGGGCUUCUGGAUUUCAAGAAACCUAAAUCAGGGAAGGAAAGUGGGGAGGAAAUGGAAUGAAAAGAGUCUCAGCAAAUUGCAUACGCACAUGCAUGCACACCGAGGGCCUGGUCAUCAACAGAGGACAAGCAUUUUUCUACAAGCUCCUGUGGCCAGCAGCUUCUCCACCAGCCUCGUCCAUUCCUCCCACCCCAAUGGAAGUGACAAAACUUCAGAUGCAAAAAGAUCUCCAGGGACACCAUCUCCUGACCAUGGGAAGCAGUGGUGUCCAGACUAAGCCAGAAAGGAGGCGCUGGGCAGAAACCCUUCAAGGGCCAAGUUAUGUAACUGCCAAAGAACCUUUUAAAACUCUAGUUGCUACAGGGACAGGGAACGGGUAGGGGGAAUCGGGGGAUCCACUGCCACAGACUCUUGGGGGGCACACUCUGCAGAGGCUGAGAUGCACCCAUCUAGUUGGAGCCCAGGUAUUAUCAUGCAGGAGACCUGGGUUCAAGUAGGUGUUUGACCCUUGGAGAGCUUUCUGGAAUAUUUAUACCACACACAGGGAUACUUGGCUUGGGAAAACUAAAUAAACGUGAAGUCUUUC
ensembl:lncRNA KIF23-AS1 KIF23 and PAQR5 antisense RNA 1